rnacentral:rRNA from 1 species
CCCUUAGAUGUUCUGGGCCGCACGCGCGCUACACUGAUAAUGUCAACAAGCUUUACCUUGGCCGAUAGGUCUGGGCAAUCUUCGAACUAUUAUCGUGAUGGGGCUAGAUUAUUGCAACUAUUAAUCUUAAACGAGGAAUUCCUAGUAAGCGCGAGUCAUCAGCUCGCGUUGAUUACGUCCCUGCCCUUUGUACACACCGCCCGUCGCUCCUACCGAUUUUGAGUGGUCCGGUGAACCUUCUGGAUUGUGCGGCUUGCCGCGCGAGAAGUUAUGUAAACCUUAUCACUUAGAGGAAGGAGAAGUCGUAACA